UACGUAGGGUGCGAGCGUUGUCCGGAAUUAUUGGGCGUAAAGGGCUCGUAGGCGGUUUGUCGCGUCGGGAGUGAAAACCUUGGGCUUAACUCAGGGCUUGCUUUCGAUACGGGCAGCCUAGAGGUAUGCAGGGGAGAACGGAAUUCCUGGUGUAGCGGUGAAAUGCGCAGAUAUCAGGAGGAACACCGGUGGCGAAGGCGGUUCUCUGGGCAUGAUCUGACGCUGAGGAGCGAAAGCGUGGGGAGCAAACAGG
rnacentral:rRNA from 1 species